CGCUCGGAUCGAGACGGUGACGUCGUGGCUGCUGCGGACGGCCACCACUGCCGGGCGGUGGUUCGAACCCGCCUUCGGGCGUCC
rnacentral:tRNA from 1 species